UAAGUGGAAGCCAAUAAGGCAAUUAUCUGUUACAUAAUUCCCCGCUUUUAUAAGCCCACUUAU
rnacentral:tRNA from 1 species